CGGCGCUGCAGGCGGGGCCUGCCCCGCACGUCACCGGCAAGAUGGCGGCGCCCGGCUGGCCUAGCCUGGCGGAGCGGGGGAGCCCCCUGCCCCAACUCGGAGAAAAUUCUGAAUAGUAACAGUGAAGACUGACAUGACACUGACUACUGCACACAUUGCUACAGCAGAGGCAUUGGAGCUGUUUGCCUGCAGACCUAAGAAGGCAUAUCAGUUUACACUCUGUUUAGGAUUGGAAGCUUUGGUGCAUUGAUCCUCUGUGAACUGCUCAGUUUGGAGUCUUUGCUAUUCAUUGAAUGCAUACAUCAACCUCUGAGGAAAGACUUCCUGUAAACACAUCUAUUUUGCUUUAAGUGUAAGUAGCCUAUCUCUUGAGCUGUAAAUUUUCUAAGAUUAUAAUAAAUGCUCAUGUAGUUGUUCA
rnacentral:lncRNA from 1 species